rnacentral:rRNA from 1 species
GACGAACGCUGGCGGCGUGCUUAACACAUGCAAGUCGAACGGAAAGGCCCUGCUUUUGUGGGGUGCUCGAGUGGCGAACGGGUGAGUAACACGUGAGUAACCUGCCCUUGACUUUGGGAUAACUUCAGGAAACUGGGGCUAAUACCGGAUAGGAGCUCCUGCUGCAUGGUGGGGGUUGGAAAGUUUCGGCGGUUGGGGAUGGACUCGCGGCUUAUCAGCUUGUUGGUGGGGUAGUGGCUUACCAAGGCUUUGACGGGUAGCCGGCCUGAGAGGGUGACCGGCCACAGUGGGACUGAGAUACGGCCCAGACGCCUACGGGAGGCAGCAGUGGGGAAUAUUGCACAAUGGGCGGAAGCCGGAUGCAGCAACGCCGCGUGCGGGAUGACGGCCUUCGGGUUGUAAACCGCGUUCGCCUGUGACGAAGCGUGAGUGACGGUAAUGGGUAAAGAAGCACCGGCUAACUACGUG